rnacentral:lncRNA from 1 species
AAUUUUUUUGAUCUUUUAAAUUUGAUUAUAUUGUUUUUAAGAUAAAAAUAUAGGGGAUCAAAUUUGAUUAGAUCAAGUUGAUUUCUUGAUGAGAUCAAGAUAUUAUGUUUGUAGAUUAAAUUGUUGAUCAAAAUUAUAAAGAUCAAUAGGAUUGAUUGUUAUUUGUGAUUUAGUCACUAUUAUUUUUCGAAUCAUCGGUUAACGGUUAAUUAGAAUACCCAAAGUUAUUUUUAUAUAUGUGAUGUAUGAGAUACAUAUCGAUGAUGAUCAUGGAUAGCGACCUAUUUAUAUUUCGACAUGUGAUGUAUGAUGUGUAUGCAGAAUCCUGUAUUUAAAUUUAUUUAAAUUAAGGAAUUUGUAUUAGAGAUGGUUAUAGUUGUGCCUGCGUGCACAAGCCGAUUUAUUUGGCGACCUGCAUGUCUCAAUAGGUUAGAGAUAAAAAUUAUCAAAUGUAAUUAAUUUUCAUUUCAUUUGUAUUGUUGGUGUUGAUACCAAAAUUGAGCCGACCUAACCCACGUAUGAGCCAAUAAGGACACGUGGUACACCAGGAGUCGGUAAUAAGGCGCCUGAAGGACAAAAAGGCGAGAACGGUUGAAGAUUGUGGCGUAACUUCCAUGAGGAGUUAGCAUAACUUCCAUGAGGAGUUAGUAUAACUUCGACGAUCAUGGUUACAACCACUCCCCCCAACUUUUUUCAACCAACUAAUAAUGUGGGCUAUAAAUAGUAAUUUUGAAGCCUGCAAUAGAGGUCUUUACCCUUGCCCACAAAAGACCACCCUUAUUUCCUCUGCAUUUUAUCGCUUUUUUAGGAGUAGUCUAAAUGUAAUCUUUUUCUUUUCCGCAUUUACUGCUUUCCUAGGAGUAGUUCCUGUAACUUACAUCUUUGGAGUCUGUCUGCCCCAUGGGCAUUACUCCCUUAUAGAAUAUACUUGGAGUCUGUCUGCUCCACGGGCAUCACUCCCCUGUUCUGUACUUUUUCAUUUUCUAUUCAAUAGAAAGUCACGUUCGGCUAUUCAGGCCGACCAGAUUUUGUGUUGUGCUAGCCAUUCGGCUCAUCUCCCGGCUUAAUUUCCGACUUUCCCCGUAUAUUCGGCUCAUCCAGCCGAACCGAAGAGUGAAAAGAGCUUUCGGACCCGGCUGAUUCGAUCCCUCAUCAGCCGAAUCGCUUAAUCCAGUCGAAGGGCGCAAAUUUCGAGGGUCACUAUUCGCAGUCGUUCCUCACCCCGACACGCUCCACGAGGAGGAUCUUUGACCGGGUCAAGGGUCGAAAAAUUCGGCUUCCAACAGUUGGGCUGUAUAAUGUAUGGUUGCACAUCAUUGGUUGAUCGGUUGUAAGCCUAAAAGUUCGCAAGGCCCGGAUAGAGACGAAUACUUGAUGGCGGUCGGAUCAAGGUGUUGAUAAGGAUCAAAUCAAGUUGAAGCUCCAGAUCGGAUCAAGAAGUUGAAGACGAUCAAACCAAUGACGUGUGUGUGCUUGUAAUUUAUGACCCUAAGACCCCGAUUCCGACUCAGUGGCUCGAGUCCGAAUCCACUUCUAAGAUCCAUGAUUAUCACCAGUUUAAUUAUUUUUAUGCACGGAUUAUUUUUAUUUGCAUUAGAUGUAAAUAAAUAAAAUAUUUUUUGAGACCUAAAUAUUAAU